CACGUAGGGUGCGAGCGUUGUCCGGAAUUAUUGGGCGGAAAGAGCUCGUAGGCGGUGUGUCGCGUCGGCCGUGAAAACCUGCAGCUUAACUGUGGGCUUGCGGUCGAUACGGGCAUCACUGGAGUUCGGCAGGGGAGACUGGAAUUCCUGGUGUAGCGGUGAAAUGCGCAGAUAUCAGGAGGAAUACCGGUGGCGAAGGCGGCAUCCUGGACCGGCAUUGACGCUGAGGAGCGAAAGCUAGGGGAGCAAACGGG
rnacentral:rRNA from 1 species